GCGGUGGAGCAAAAAGUUUUACUUCACUGCUCGAAAACUCGAAAUAUAUUGAAAAGCUCGUGCACCGAAGCGAAUUUUCUACUGAAACGAGCGAUGUAUAGAUAAUAAAAUUUUCUUUUCAUCGUUUUUCACAACUGAAUCGAAUAAGAAUGAUUAUCUCCACGAUGAUAGGCACAGAAAAUUAAAGUUGAGAUACAUUUAUAUAUGGCUUAUAUCUCAUAUAUAUAUAUAAUUACCAUUUGAAAACAAGAAUACCAAGGGAAGCAACGACGAUGACGGACUGCUAUGAUCACGAGAAAUGAAUGAAGGGAUUUUUUACUCGGGCGUAGCUGCUGCGUGAACCCUGCCGUUGUUUUUGAUGACGUGAUUAUUAUAAGUUUUUCUUUCUGGCAUUGAGGAAGUUUGGAAAUUUGGCAACCCGCGUAUUCAAACAAAAUUAAUAAUUAAUCAAAUUUAUGAAUUAUAACGAGCAAUCAGAACCGUCGUUCAAACCGUAAUACAGUAAUAUACGAAAAAAAGUUUGAAAACGUAGAAAUAAAAGAAUACGUUGAAAAAGUUUCGUAAAGAAAAUUCCGAAAUGGCGUACACUUCUGGUUCGCGAGGAACGGUGAUCGAUCGAUUUCAACUCGUUUCAAUUGACGAAACCAAGCCGGUAUUUAAGGUACCUUUCGACGAAACAUGGAGUAUCGACAAGCUGGAUUUACAGGUAUACUAAUAAACUAUCGUUCCUCUUAUUGUUGCAAAGAUCCGUUAAGACUUGAAUGUAUAACGGCCAUAUUGCGAAUUCGAAUUUUUAUUUGAAGAAAUAUCGGUACAUUUCACGGAUAAAAGUUGAUUUUUUUGGUCAUUGAAUCAUUUACAAGGAUAAAUCCAAAUUGUUGUUUAAAUAUAAAUAGAUACAUUGUAAGACAAUCGAGUGUACUGGCUAAUUUGAAUGUAUAAAAAAAAGUGGAACAUUUUACGAUUAAGAGUAAAUUUUUGAAUAGCCUGAUGGAUUUUUUGUGGAGGUUGUUCGAUCGAAUUCUUUGACAACACCGGAAAAUCCGAAAGCUUCACCGGAAGUCCCGAAGGCACCGAUGAAACCCCGAAAAACAGCGAGACGCGAUGACCUCCCGCGGAGAAAACUCGAGUUCACAGAACCGGAAGUCGAAGAAAAUUUACUUGAUCCCGGCCCCACUUUAUUUCCGCCGAAAACGUCCUCUCAGAACAAUCUACAAACGAUGAAAUCUGGGUCAAAAAAAAUUCAAAUCAGUCGAAAUAUGAGUAAAAAGAAAUUGGCGAAUUGCGAUAAAGAAAAUAAUUGCAGUGUGGCAAAUCGUACGAAAAUUGAUAAAUCUUCAUGUCAAUUUCAUACCACGCCGAAACAACCCUCGAAAAAAUGUUCCAAACCCGAAAGCGAAUUCUCGCAUAUUAGAAUAUAAGUUUUUUGUAAAUAAUUCAUAUUUCAUAAGUUUAUUGAUUAUUCAUAACCUACAAAAUAUUCAAUGUUUUUCCAUUAUCAUUAUUUAUCACACAUUCAGAAUUGAUACAGUUAUUUACUGCUGAAAAUAAUCCUCGUCUCAUCAGUCAUAAUAGUUUAUUUAAUGUGUUUUCGCGUGAAUUGAAUUCUGUGAGCAAUAAAAAAUGGAAUAAUAAUUAUACUUCAAGAUUGAUCGAUUCAAGAGUUACUGAAUAUUAGUUCAAGAGCCAAGUCGAGGCACAAUUUUUGUGCUAUCUUCAUCAGCAGAGUGUGAAGUUAAUACAAAAUAUGAUUUUUUAUGGUUGGAAGGCAAAACUGUUGACUUUUAUUAAUAGUCUCGGAUAUUAAUAGCCGUUUGGAUAACCUAUUUGAUCAAUAUAAUUUAAUCAUUAAGAAAUAUUUUUGGAUUAAACCAACCAACAGAAAAUGUAGUGCAAUUUUUCAAUACUUUGUUUUUUCAUGUCUACCCAAUAAUGACCGUACAGCAUAUACUUUGUGAGCGAUCAAAAUUAUUCAAAAACCACAGUGCAAAGAUAUGCAAGAAACAAGAUUGGAAUUUGUUAAUUCUCAAUGUAACCGUCAUCAAUUUUUUCAUUAAAAACAUUGUUGAUUAAA